AGCCCCGCGGUAGCGUACGCUAAAGUGCAAAUUUAGAGAAGCACCUUAAAAGGUGCCGGGGCUU
rnacentral:tRNA from 1 species